GACGUAGGGGGCCAGCGUUGCUCGGAAUUACUGGGCGUAAAGGGUUCGUAGGCGGUGUGGCAAGUCGGUAGUGAAAUCUCCAGGCUUAACUUGGAGGCUGCUGCCGAAACUGCCGUGCUAGAGUACGGGAGAGGCGAGUGGAAUUACAGGUGUAGCGGUGAAAUGCGUAGAUAUCUGUAGGAACACCCGUGGCGAAGGCGGCUCGCUGGACCGUUACUGACGCUGAGGAACGAAAGCUAGGGGAGCGAACGGG
rnacentral:rRNA from 1 species